rnacentral:rRNA from 1 species
CAUUCACGGAGAGUUUGAUCCUGGCUCAGGACGAACGCUGGCGGCGUGCUUAACACAUGCAAGUCGAACGAUGAAGCCGCUUCGGUGGUGGAUUAGUGGCGAACGGGUGAGUAACACGUG